rnacentral:tRNA from 1 species
UUUUCUAGAGUGAUUAUCAUAGCUAAGUUCGAUUUAGAAGUAAUAAGAAAUUUGUAGUAGAU